rnacentral:rRNA from 1 species
AGUCAUAUGCUUGUCUCAAAGAUUAAUCCAUGCAUGUGUAAGUAUAAGUAUUGUACAGCGAAACUGCGAAUGGCUCAUUACAUCAGUUAUUAUUUAUUUGAUAAUCGAAAGUUACAUGGAUAACCGUGACAAAUUACAGCUAAUACAUGCAGUCAGACCUGGUCCAAGGGUCGUAAUUAUUAGUAUUAAACCAUUUCCGAAAGGAGUGUGAUGAAUCAUAAUAAUCGAACGAAUCGCCUGUUGUGCGAUAAAUCAUUCAAGUUUCUGCCCUAUCAGCUUUGGAUGGUAGUGUAUUGGACUACCAUGGCAGUCACGGGUAACGGAGAAUUAGGGUUCGAUUCCGGAGAGGGAGCCUGAGAAACGGCUACCACAUCUACGGAAGGCAGCAGGAGCGAAAAUUGCCCAAUCCUGACACGGGGAGGCAGUGACAAGAAAUAACAACUCUAGGUUAUUCUUAGAAGUGUAAUGAGGAUAAUUUACAACCCUUACCGAAAGCAAUUGGAGGGCAAGUCUGGUGCCAGCAGCCGCGGUAAUUCCAGCUCCAAUAGCGUAUAUUAAAGUUGUUGCAGUUAAAAAGCUCGUAGUUGAAGUUCUGGCUGCUCGGUCCUCGAGCUCUGUAGCCGAGGAAUCGACAGUCAUCCGCUUGCAAAUAUAGUUCGCCUUUAACCGGGUGGCUAUAUGAGUAAGCAUUUUACCUUGAGAAAAACAGAGUGUUCCAGGCAGGUUUGUCCGGAAUGCAUUAGCAUGGAAUAAUAGAAUAUGACUGAAGUCUAUUUAUUGGUUUAAGGCUUUAGUAAUGAUUAAUAGGAACAGUCGGGGGCAUUGGUACUUGUCAGUCAGAGGUGAAAUUCUAGGAUUUGACAAAGACUAACAAAUGCGAAAGCAUUUGCCAAGGAUGUUUUCAUUAAUCAAGAACGAAAGUUAGGGGAUCAAAGACGAUCAGAUACCGUCCUAGUCUUAACUAUAAACUAUACCGACUCGGAUUCGGAUGAAUCAAAAAGUUCAUUCGGGACCGUAGGAGAAAUCAAAGUUUUUGGGUUCUGGGGGAAGUAUGGUCGCAAGGCUGAAACUUAAAGGAAUUGACGGUUUUGCACCACCAUGGAGUGGAGUCUGCGGCUUAAUUUGACAACACUGGGAAACUCAUCAGGGCAAGAAGAUUUUAGGAUUGACAGAUUGAGAGUUCUUUCUUGAUUGGUCUAGUGGUGGUGCAUGGCCGUUCUUAGUUGGUGGAGUGAUUUGUCUGGUUAAUUCCGUUAACGAACGAGACCUUAACCUGCUAACUAGUACACUGAUGACAAAUCAGUGUUACUUCUUAGAGGGACUAUGUGAUGUAAUCACAUGGAAGUUUGAGGCAAUAACAGGUCUGUGAUGCCCUUAGAUGUCCUGAGCUGCACGCGUACUACAAUGGUGCUUUCAACGAGCUUUUCCUGAUCCGAAAGGAUUUGGGUAAUCUUUUUAGUGAGCACCGUGCUUGGGAUAGAUCUUUGUAAUUAUGGAUCUUGAACUAGGAAUUCCUAGUAAGCACAGGUCAUCAGCCUGUGCUGAUUACGUCCCUGCAAAAUGUACACACCG